rnacentral:piRNA from 1 species
CAUCUGGGACAGGAGCUUAGAAACGA